rnacentral:rRNA from 1 species
GAUGAACGCUAGCUACAGGCCUAACACAUGCAAGUCGAGCGACCGGUGCACGGGUGAUUAACACGUAUCCAACCUGCUCUUUUCCCUGCGAUAGCCCUUCGAUAGAAACACCAACACCCGAUGUAAUGGAUCGGGAUUCGUUCUAUUAGGUUGGUGGUAAGGUAACGGCUCACCAAGCCUUCGAUGGAUAGGGGUGCUGCUAGGAAGGUCCACCAGAUUGGAACUAAGACACGGUCCAAACUCGUACGGGGAGGAGGAGUGUGGAGUAUAGGGCGAUGGACGUUAGCCUGAACCAGCCGCGUAGUGUGAAGGAUGAUGGCUUAUGAGUCUUAAACUUCUUGUAUAUAAGAAUAUGUAUUAUAUGAAUAAGGAUCGGCUAACUCCGUGCCAGCAGCCGCGGUAAUUC